rnacentral:sRNA from 1 species
GUAAAAGUCGUAACAAGGUUUCCGUAGGUGAACCUGCGGAAGGAUCAUUACAGAAUGAAAAGUGCUUAACUGCAUUUUUUCUUACACAUGUGUUUUUCUUUUUUUGAAAACUUUGCUUUGGUAGGCCUUCUAUAUGGGGCCUGCCAGAGAUUAAACUCAACCAAAUUUUAUUUAAUGUCAACCGAUUAUUUAAUAGUCAAAACUUUCAACAACGGAUCUCUUGGUUCUCGCAUCGAUGAAGAACGCAGCGAAAUGCGAUAAGUAAUAUGAAUUGCAGAUAUUCGUGAAUCAUCGAAUCUUUGAACGCACAUUGCGCCCUUUGGUAUUCCAAAGGGCAUGCCUGUUUGAGCGUCAUUUCUCCCUCAAACCCUCGGGUUUGGUGUUGAGCGAUACGCUGGGUUUGCUUGAAAGAAAGGCGGAGUAUAAACUAAUGGAUAGGUUUUUUCCACUCAUUGGUACAAACUCCAAAACUUCUUCCAAAUUCGACCUCAAAUCAGGUAGGACUACCCGCUGAACUUAAGCAUAUCAAUAGCCGGGAAGGAA